rnacentral:rRNA from 1 species
GAUGAACGCUGGCGGCGUGCCUAAUACAUGCAAGUCGAGCGAACAGAUAAGGAGCUUGCUCCUUCGACGUUAGCGGCGGACGGGUGAGUAACACGUGGGUAACCUACCUAUAAGACUGGGAUAACUUCGGGAAACCGGAGCUAAUACCGGAUAACAUUUGGAACCGCAUGGUUCUAAAGUGAAAGAUGGUUUUGCUAUCACUUAUAGAUGGACCCGCGCCGUAUUAGCUAGUUGGUAAGGUAACGGCUUACCAAGGCGACGAUACGUAGCCGACCUGAGAGGGUGAUCGGCCACACUGGAACUGAGACACGGUCCAGACUCCUACGGGAGGCAGCAGUAGGGAAUCUUCCGCAAUGGGCGAAAGCCUGACGGAGCAACGCCGCGUGAGUGGUGAAGGGUUUCGGCUCGUAGAACUCUGUUAUUAGGGAAGAACAAACGUGUAAGUAACUGUGCACGUCUUGACGGUACCUAAUCAGAAAGCCACGGCUAACUACGUGCCAGCAGCCGCGGUAAUACGUAGGUGGCAAGCGUUAUCCGGAAUUAUUGGGCGUAAAGCGCGCGUAGGCGGUUUCUUAAGUCUGAUGUGAAAGCCCACGGCUCAACCGUGGAGGGUCAUUGGAAACUGGGAAACUUGAGUGCAGAAGGGGAAAGUGGAAUUCCAUGUGUAGCGGUGAAAUGCGCAGAGAUAUGGAGGAACACCAGUGGCGAAGGCGACUUUCUGGUCUGUAACUGACGCUGAUGUGCGAAAGCGUGGGGAUCAAACAGGAUUAGAUACCCUGGUAGUCCACGCCGUAAACGAUGAGUGCUAAGUGUUAGGGGGUUUCCGCCCCUUAGUGCUGCAGCUAACGCAUUAAGCACUCCGCCUGGGGAGUACGACCGCAAGGUUGAAACUCAAAGGAAUUGACGGGGACCCGCACGAGCGGUGGAGCAUGUGGUUUAAUUCGAAGCAACGCGAAGAACCUUACCAAAUCUUGACAUCCUUUGAAAACUCUAGAGAUAGAGCCUUCCCCUUCGGGGGACAAAGUGACAGGUGGUGCAUGGUUGUCGUCAGCUCGUGUCGUGAGAUGUUGGGUUAAGUCCCGCAACGAGCGCAACCCUUAAGCUUAGUUGCCAUCAUUAAGUUGGGCACUCUAGGUUGACUGCCGGUGACAAACCGGAGGAAGGUGGGGAUGACGUCAAAUCAUCAUGCCCCUUAUGAUUUGGGCUACACACGUGCUACAAUGGACAAUACAAAGGGCAGCUAAACCGCGAGGUCAUGCAAAUCCCAUAAAGUUGUUCUCAGUUCGGAUUGUAGUCUGCAACUCGACUACAUGAAGCUGGAAUCGCUAGUAAUCGUAGAUCAGCAUGCUACGGUGAAUACGUUCCCGGGUCU